UACGUAUGGGGCAAGCGUUAUCCGGAUUUACUGGGUGUAAAGGGAGCGUAGGCGGCGGGGCAAGCCUGAUGUGAAAGCCCGGGGCUUAACCCCGGGACUGCAUUGGGAACUGCCCUGCUGGAGUGCCGGAGGGGCAGGCGGAAUUCCUAGUGUAGCGGUGAAAUGCGUAGAUAUUAGGAGGAACACCAGUGGCGAAGGCGGCCUGCUGGACGGUGACUGACGCUGAGGCUCGAAAGCGUGGGGAGCAAACAGG
rnacentral:rRNA from 1 species